UUCUUUUCUUUUUUUUUUUACAUCCACAUUUACACCAAGUACAAAUUAUAAAAAAAAAAACUCAAAAUUACACAAAUAUUACAUUACACAAUUUGAAAAUUACAAAAUAAUCCAAAAAAUCAGGAAAAACAACUCUGGGAUGCAUUCUGGGUCUGCCUGAACAGUAGCGGCGCAUCUCCCCACGCGCCUCCGCCAUUGGCGGCGCGUGGAUUCACGCGCCGCUGCUGACAAUGACCGGAAAUGGGCAGAUCUGCCCUGCUUUCUUCUUCCCUUCCCUUCUCUGCUGGCUGUGAGAACCACAGUUACCUGCAAAGGUAAAAACACACAUGCAAAGCUUCCGAUUCUUUUUCCCUUUUUUUUUUUAGAUCUACGCUCUCUUGUCUUCUCCUUUUGGUUUUCUGUUCUUCCCUUCUGCAGGUGGCGGACGGCUCUGAGGUCAGGGUGUCUCUGUGAGCGGCUGGAGGAAGGUGAGCAGCGGCUGGUUUCUGUGGGCGCCGCCGUAUGGGGGCUGUCGCUGGAGGGCAAAUCUGCGAACGCUGCUGGAGGGAGAAGACGGACCGCUCCGAGUCUGUGGGCGAUGCUGCUGCUGACGGCGAAGACCAGGAAGAAGACAGCGGGGGCUGACGUUGUGUUCGGCUUGAGGAAGAGAGCUUGUCCGUGGGUGAGGGGGGAGUGAGCGGCUGCUUAGGUGAGGGGGGAGUGAGCUUGUCCGUGGGUGAGGGGGGACGGCGGCUGUCUUCAACAGGGAAAGGGAGGCUUCGGCUGAGGGGAGAAGACUGGGGUCCGUCUGGUCAGAAGAGGAAGGUCGGCUGAGGGAGAAGAGAAAAAAUCAAAAAAGGGGGGGGGGCUGGCCAGGCGGCGACUGCCUUCUGGUGAGGGAGAGAAAAAGCUAAGCUUUUAGGGUUUGUGUUUUUUUGUGUUGCCUCUCCCCCAAAUCUCAAAAUGGCCCCCCUUUGGUUUUGAGUUUUGGACCUAUAUUUAUAGGUAAAAUGUUGUCCGGACUCAAAAUUGGUCCUUCAAUUUUUUUUUUUGUAAAUUUUGAUUUUUCUUGUUUUUUCUUGUAUUUUUAAAAACGAGCAAUAUCAACGUUGACUCAAAGAGAAAAAUCAAGGAUUUUAAAAACAACGCGUGAAAAUUCGAACGCAUUCGAAAACUUCUGAAAAUUUAAAUUUUUUUUUAGACGACGUUGAAAAUGCUAAAAACGAUGCAAAUAUAUAAAAACAUAUUUUUUUGGAUUUUCGUUGUUUUUCGCUAUUUUUGGAUUUUUUCAAAACUUUUAUCAAAUAGGUGGGUCAAAAAUUGAGUAGCAACAGAUGCCCCCUCUUUACAAUGCUUACGAAGCAAAAUUCCUCAAUGUUUUGCAUAGUAAGCUUUGUAAAGAAAAGAAAAAGAAAAUGAUCUCAUUAUCUUGGGCAACUGCCCCUUUUAAAGAAAAAGUGGUCUAUUUUCACGGGCGACCUGCCCACACAUACUCAUUAUGGUCUAUUUUUAGGGGCGACCUGCCCACACACUCACACGGGUCUAUUUUCACGGGCGACCUGCCCACACAUACUCAAAGUGGUCUAUUUUCACGGGCGACCUGCCCACACACUCACACAAUGGUCUAUUUUCAAGGGCGACCAGCCCACACAUACUCAAAGUGGUCUAUUUUCACGGGCGACCUGCCCACACACUCACACUGGUCUAUUUUCACAGGCGACCUGCCCACACAUACUCAAAGUGGUCUAUUUUCAAAGGCGACCUACCAUUUUGAUUGGGUUUACCUGAGAUCCCAUCUGGCGAUCUAACAAGAACAAAAAUUGGUGUGUAGCUCGGUCAACCUGAAAUCCCAUCUAGCGAUUCCCUUUAACCAAAGCUAAAUUCUGCAUGGUUAGGCUAAACUGAGAUCCUUUUGCCGAUCCCCUUUAACCAGAACCAAAACUCUUGUGUGCGAUUAGGAUAGACUGAGAUUCCUUUCGCCAAUCCCCUCUAACCAGAACCGAAACUCUUGUAUGGUUAGGAUAGACUGAGAUUCCUUUCGCUAAUCCCCUCUAACCAGAACCAAAAUCUAUGUGGUUGGGCUGAACUGAGACCCCUUCGCCGAUCCCCUUCAACCAGAACCAAAACUCCUGUGUGCGGUUAGGAUAGACUGAGAUUCCUUUCGCCAAUCCCCUCUAACCAGAACCGAAACUCCUGUAUGGUUAGGAUAGACUGAGAUUCCUUUCGUCAAUCCCCUCUAACCAGAACCAAAAUCUGUGUGGUUGGGCUGAACUGAGACCCCUUCGCCGAUCCCCUUCAACCAGAACCAAAAUCUGUGUGCGGUUAGGAUAGAUUGAGAUUCCUUUCGCCAAUCCCCUCUAACCAGAAUCGAAACUCCUGUAUGGUUAGGAUAGACUGAGAUUCCUUUCGCCAAUCCCCUCUAACCAGAACCAAAAUCUGUGUGGUUAGGCUGAACUGAGACCCCUUCGCCGAUCCCCUUCAACCAGAACCAAAACUCCUGUGUGCGGUUAGGAUAGACUGAGAUUCCUUUCGCCAAUCCCCUCUAACCAAAACCAAAACUCCUGUAUGGUUAGGAUAGACUGAGAUCAGAACCAAAAUCUGUGUGUGUAGCUCGGUCUACCUGAAAUCCCAUCUGGCGAUUCCCUUUAACCAAAGCUACGUGAGAUCCCAUCUGGCGACCUCCUUUAACAAAAACCAAAAAAUGUAAAAAGUGGUCUCAUUGUAAUGGGUGACCUACCCAGAUGAAAGAAUGUUAAAAACGGUCUCAUUAUGAUGGGUGACCUACCCAAGUGGAAAAAAUGAUGGUCUCAUUGUGAUGGGUGACCUACCCAAAGAAAGAUGGUCUCAUUAUGAUGGGUGACCUACCCAGAGAAAGAUGGUCUCAUUAUGAUGGGUGACCUACCCAGAUGGAAAAAUGUGACUUACCUGGCAAAAAGACUUGGCUGGAGAAGUCUUGACAGGAUAAGGUUGACAAACUGCGCUUCCUGAUUACAGGGUUGACUUGAAGACCCCUCUUGAUGACAGGGUUGAUCUCCUCGUUUCUUUGAGAUUCCCCUACUAGCAGGGUUCAUCUCAUUCUCUUCUCGUUCCAGGAUCUAAACCAAUUCUUUGUUAUCAUCAACUCAAUGAUUCUUUCUUUGUCCACAAUCUUGCUGGACUUCAUUGAGGAUCUUCCUGUAACAAUCACAAGUAUGUGCAGUGCUUUGAGGUUAGAUGGCAUGCAUGCAUCCUUACCUGAUUUGAAAUAUAGGUCCCCCCCUCUUUGAUGAUCCAUUGUUAUGAGGUGCCUUUGUUUGCAUUCCAAAGCUUUCUUUGUUCUUUCGAUGCAUUUGCGUGCUAGCCUUCUACUCAAAUGCAAGUACAAUGCCCAUCUUAGGCUGUCCACGGUGAUUACUACUCUCGUUGUUUAUCAAGCUGGACUCUGCCCCCAAGUGUGGUGUUGCUUGAUUCAUCAUGAAGGAUUUUCUCUUUUGGAUUCUUCUAAGAAUUAUCCUCUGAUUGGUUGUGUGCAUCAUGCCAACACCCAUCAAAAUGGUCAAUCAAUCAUGAACUUACUUCCAGCUAAAACAAUACUUUUCAAGUAUAUGUUAUCAUCAACCUUCUUGGAACUGUCAGGUCAUCCAGACAUGGAUCUCAUACCUUGCAGUAAAAGCCUCAUCGUUGUUAGCUCAAUGUUUUUCUCCAUGGAUUCCUCUCAGUUUGUCAAAUCAAAUCAUGAAAGGAAAUGCAUUGGCAUCAUCAAUGAUGUUCAUCACCCAUAUUCAUGCAGUGAAGUGCGCAUUUGAGCUUCAAAACAAAUGGUCCCACAGUCAAUCUUAGUGGGUGCAUCCUUCCAACAUUCAUUCAAAUGCAACAAUGUGAUAACAUCGCUCAAAAGUCAUAGCCAUGUUGGAGAUGAUAAACCAAAAUGAAGAUAUGAAAAUAUCCUUCAAGUGCAGCGUUGCCCAUUAAUUGCUGCUGAAGUUCACUAAAUCAUGGAUUGUCUUUGAACAACAUUGCCCCCAAUAUGAUCUGAACAUGCUCAUUCUUCUUUCUAUAACCAAAUGGCUUUUGUGAUCGCUAAGAAUGACUUUGAUGGACUUCGCCAACUCAUCGUUCGAUUCUUUCUCUGCCCCCAGCUGAUCUGAAUACCUUUUGUUUUCCUUCUCAGGGUCCACUGUAUUGACCCAGGUGGUCAACUUUUCAAGGAGUGUCAAGAAGUGUUGAUGUCAUUCUUGUCAAGGAUUUUGCAAACUCGAUCGAUAUUCUUCUUAUUUGACAAUCUUUCUAUUCUGGAAUCAACUCUCAUACUCCAAAGAUCAUGUCUAUCCAAAGUCUAGUUGUUGGAAUGAAAUCAGAGAGAUGUCAAUUUUGAAAAGUAUUUUUGGAAAUCAAGCUUGUUUGGUCAAAGAUCCAACACACGUUAUUCAAUGUAGUCCUUUGAUUGUCGUGUAUUUUGAAAACAGAAAUGACCCGUUGUAAGAUUAAAAUGACUUUUUUCAUGGUUCUUUGUGUCAGUUUUAAUCUUUGAUCUUUGGGUAUACCUUUCGAUGGUCUACGAUGAGGUGACCUUCUGUGAAUUUCAAGAAACAAAAGGCUCAAGUCAAAACUUGAGGAUUCAUCAAGAAAGAUUGUUUUCUUUUUUUUAGCACCAAUUUUAUCAGCAUGCAUAAUAACCAGUAGCUUAAUCCAUGAAGUCACGACCCUUAUGGAAAAGCUCUUCAAGUUUUGAGAGCGCCAUUUAUCAAUUCAAAUUGCUUGCUUGAUUAAAAAGGGCUUUUAAAAGCACGUAAUGCAGGCUAUGGUUCAUGGCUAUGAAAGAAAGGAAUUUCACAGGCUCAAAUGGUGUUUAAGGGUUUCAAAGACCCAGGAUCAACAUCAACUAUUCACCAACUUGUUUUCUAUUGUUGUCUUUGUAGAGGAAACGACAUAUAACCUUGUUAAUCUCAAAGAUCAGACUUCUCUUAACAUAAGUCAUAAUGCAAAUCCACCUUUCCUUAAUGAAUAACCAACCUUAAUCAUCUGAUAACAUCAUAGGCUUGAUAAUGGAAACCAAAAGUCACGUUUAUAGCUUAGUCUUUUUUCUGGUGUUGACUUUUGUUGUGUCUUUCCUUGAUUGAAAUUUCUUUUGCCCUUCCUAGACUUGAUAGGCGUUCUCCUUCCUUUAUCUUUGACUUGCCUUUAAACGAAGGCAAUUUCAACUUCUUCUUUUUUUCAAUUCUUUUUUUUUUCUUUUUUUUUCUUUUUUGUUUUCUCAUAGCCUUCCUCAAAAUUUCUUAUAUGCCCCCAGUCUAUGUGUUUUCUUUUAGCCCUCUCUCAAUCAUUGGACUUUUGUUCUAAGCCUUCCCCUUUAUCCAUUAAUUAUAUCAAUGUCUCCAACAUAUCUCUCAUCUGCCCCCAGUGUGGGGUGUGAUCCAAGUCAGGGUUUUUAUGAAAAGAAUAUUCUAUCCAGCUCAAAAUGGGACUACAAGGGAUAUAAUCUUUAGAAAGUGAAGGGAUAUCAAAGAUGGCCUUUUCUCAUUUCAAGCAAGGUCGGUUAGAACCGAUCAAUUUUGACCCCAUCCGGUGUAAUGAUUGGGACUUGUAAGAAUUAUGAUUCACGAGUCCAUAACUACCGAAUCCACUACAUGUUAUUAUGCAUACUGCUAAAACUUAGCUAUAUGAUGUGUGGUUCAGUUUCAGGAGGUAUGAGUUCAAAAUUGUUUAGUCACCUCAUGUCAUUUUCAAGCAUCGAGUCAUUUCUGUAAUCAAAACACUUUUAAUCUUCCGGAUUGAUUAACCUUUAUCGCAUGUUGGAGUUUGAUCAAAAUAUUUUGUCAGAAUGAAAUGCUAAACAUCUUUGGAUUUCAAAACAACAAAGAGACAAAAACAAGACAUGUUUCGUUAAAGGAUGAGAUGUGAUCCCAAAACAAAAUGCAGAAUUCCAUAACAAUAUGAUUGACAAUUCAUCGCCAUUCUUGAAUCAGCUUUUCUGGCAAUAUCUGUGUUUUGCCAAGCACUUUCGAUCACAUGUCAUUCUGAAGAUGUUCGGGGGAUAAUAUAGCCAAUGACACUCUCCUUCACAAACUCUACUUGUCUCUUGCUCACUGACUUCCGGACUCGCUUCUUGAAAUUCUUGCAACUGUUCCAGUAAAUGGCUGAGUACCCCACCAUGACAUCACAUCUCUUGUUCGGAUUAUACCACCUAAAAAAUGGUAGUUGCAUGGGAUUUGUCGGAGUCAAGCAAAAAUCUGGAAUCUGGCAGAUGCUGGUAAAUAAACUCACAUGACAACUGUUCAAUUGAAAUUCUUGCAGCAAUUCCAUUGAAAUGGCCGAGGACCCCACCAUCACAUCACAUCACAUCACAUCUCUUGUCUGGAUUAUACCACAUGGCAAAUGAAUGUCUAUCUUUGGCAAAGACAUUGGAGUAGUCGAUGAUACAACGAGACUUGGCUAGACCACAUAAUUAAGGUUUCCCACCGUCAGAGUCUUCCUUUGAUUCAUCUCUCAUCAUUGUUCUGGAAUCCUUGGCAGAACCUUCAAUCUUUCCCAUCUUGAUAGCUUGUUCAUUUUUUUGGCAAUUCAUACAACUUCAUGUCAAUCUUCCAAUGUUAUUGUUGUUGUUUUAGGAUUGUUGGAAACCUCUCAAUAGCUAAGGAAUCCUGGUAGUGCAUAAAAACAAAAACGUGUGGAAUCACACAUUGUCAAAACUGGAAGAGAGCCCGAUGAAUCUAAAGCUCCUCUAUCUCCUCUUCGAUUCCUCACAGACAAUGGAACAAACAGACAUCUGUAAAGGGAGUUCUGCUCUGUUAAAGUUUCAGUCUUCUUCAUGUUGUUUAGUCCAGGUUUGUCUUUUCUCCCUUCUUUUGCGUUGUAAUGUCGAUACUGGUAGGGGAAAAUUGUGGACAAUCUGAAACCACUGCAUCCCUUCUUGGGUUUCCCACUUGCAGACCCAUAAACAGAUUUCUGCUGAGAAAGCUCUGCCACGUUGAAGUUUGAUGUCUACUCAUGUUUUUCAGACUAGAUCUGACUCUUCUCCCUGCUACAAUGUUUUGCUGGUGCCACUGGUGGGAGAAAUUUUCAAAGCAUGUGAAACUACUACAUCCCCUCUUGCAUUCCCCACAAAUAAAUCUUUACAGAGAGCUCUGCAACGUGGAAGUUCAGUGUCUAAUCCUGUUGCUGAACUGGAAUUGAGCUCACAAUUGUGGUAACUUUAAAGAAGACUAAUGCACCAUGCAUAUGAGGCUAGUAGUUAUUUGGUUCCAUUAAAAGAUGUGGAGGCGAUGAAAAAUUAACAGUGCAACUGAACAAGAGCAAAGGUUGUCAUUAGCUGAUGACUAAAAGCAUUGUUGUUGCUGUUCAUGACUGAAAAGGAGAGGUACAGCUUCAAUUAGACGUGAAUAAGCAGUGUUCCCACAGAAGACUGUGCAGACAUUCUCUUUCCAUUUGAUGCUCAACACUUGUUCGAGCAAAUCUGAGUCUAGCUACUUCACCUUUGAUGCUCUCAACCUCAAUCUGAUAAUGAGCCUCUAUCCAUAAUCUUUCUUCCCUUCCAUCAUCUUUCUUCCAUCACGUGCAGCACAGCUUGUGCGAGGGACCUACCUUUCAACCCGGUACAUGCAUGAUAAAUGUAUGAAUAUGUAAUCUAUAUGACGAACUCGCCCUUCGAGGGGUGACAUAUGAUCGCAACUCUUGCAUGAUGAAACAAGAAUCUUGAUUCUUGCACAAACUCUACAAUGAAAAUUUUCUGAGCGACGAUCAUUGUGUCACCCAUAAGUCUGGAGUUCAAGAUGCUUCAAGAAGGGCUUGCUUGGAUGCAAAACAAUGUCUACGGAGCAUACAUCCUAAAGACAGUUCUAAUCCUUUUUAAGUGGGACAAAAGGUAGGUUUACUACUUGGUCUCUAAAAAGGGUCUCUCGUUGUCCCAGUGAUUACCCUCUUGAAGGCAAUAUAGGGGCUUGUAGGCAAUGAGAUGGCACGUGUCCAACUAUUACCAGUCUAAGCACUCAACGAAGAGUUGGGGUUUACACAAACUUAAACCUUGACUAAAAUCAUAAGGUAAGCUGCUAGUCCCCCUCCUAACCUGAAGCUUGUGUGUGCUUUAAAAAAUUACACUAUGUGAUGCAUGAGACAAUUCUACAAAAUGCAUGGAUAAAACAAAAAUAAAAUAGGACAAAAUUGUAAAAACAUAAACGCAUCAAAAACACAAAGCUUAGUCCAAUAAUGUUGAAAACAAUACCUUCCCCAGUGGAGUCGUCAUUCUGUCGCACGUCCGAAAAUCCGCGCGGCAUCGGGCUUGACGACUUUUUCGUCUUCUCGUUUGCUUUGAUUACAUCGUUAGGAGUCGCCACCUAGUAUUUAAUUGAGGGCUACUAGGAAACCCGGGUGUACUGGUCUCGUCAGAGAUUCAUGGGUAAGGGACUGGUUGUGGUUAGGGAAGGUAUUAGCACCCCUAACGCACCCUACCUGAGGUAAGCUGCUUCGUGGACUUGAUGUGUUAAAGAAGUUUUAAAAUUCGGUUCAUUCAUCGAAUUUUAGAAAAUACAACUUACACUUACAUGUAAGUUCAUAAUUCUUUAUCCGUGAGCAAAUCAGAAUAUUAAAUUCUUCUUUAUUCUCGCAAUUUUAUCCUAAAAAAAACAUUCAUAAACAAAAUACACACCACACAUUCACUUUCAAGCUUCGUGGACUUGAUGUGAUUUAAAAAAUAAAAUUUUAGCCCAAUUCUAAGGCUUUGAUAAAUCAGUUAUUACUUCCCAAAAUAUAUGUAGAUACAUGUUCUAUAUUUUUAUGGAAAAUACAACAUGAUUUUUAUCUGUCCUUUAGAUAUUUGUGCAUAUAAAUUAAAAUAUUAAAUUCAUUUUUUUUUAUUCAAUAACAUACCUAAAAAACAAUACAAACACACACACAACUCUUUUUCUAUUAUUAUUUGUUUUUUCUUCUCUUUUCUUUUCUUUUUUUUUUUCUUACAUCCACAUUUACACCAAGUACAAAUUAUAAAAAAAAAACUCAAAAUUACACAAAUAUUACAUUACACAAUUUGAAAAUUACAAAAUAAUCCAAAAAAUCAGGAAAAACAACUCUGGGAUGCAUUCUGGGUCUGCCAGAACAGUAGCGGCGCGUCUCCCCACGCGCCUCCGCCACUAGCGGCGCGUGGAUUCACGCGCCGCUGCUGACAAUGACCGGAAAUGGGCAGAUCUGCCCUGCUUUCUUCUUCCCUUCCCUUCUCUGCUGGCUGUGAGAACCACAGUUACCUGCAAAGGUAAAAACACACAUGCAAAGCUUCCGAUUCUUUUUCCCUUUUUUUNNNNNN
rnacentral:lncRNA from 1 species